GACGAACGCUGGCGGCGUGCUUAACACAUGCAAGUCGAACGGAAGGGCCCUGCUUUUGUGGGGUGCUCGAGUGGCGAACGGGUGAGUAACACGUGAGUAACCUGCCCUUGACUUUGGGAUAACUUCAGGAAACUGGGGCUAAUACCGGAUAGGAGCUCCUGCUGCAUGGGGGGGGUUGGAAAGUUUCGGCGGUUGGGGAUGGACUCGCGGCUUAUCAGCUUGUUGGUGGGGUAGUGGCUUACCAAGGCUUUGACGGGUAGCCGGCCUGGGAGGGUGACCGGCCACAUUGGGACUGAGAUACGGCCCAGACUCCUACGGGAGGCAGCAGUGGGGAAUAUUGCACAAUGGGCGGACGCCUGAUGCAGCAACGCCGCGUGCGGGAUGACGGCCUUCGGGUUGUAAACCGCUUUCGCCUGUGACGAAGCGUGAGUGACGGUAAUGGGUAAAGAAGCACCGGCUAACUACGU
rnacentral:rRNA from 1 species